rnacentral:rRNA from 1 species
GAUGAACGCUGGCGGCGCGCCUAAUACAUGCAAGUCGAGCGAACAGACGAGGAGCUUGCUCCUCUGACGUUAGCGGCGGACGGGUGAGUAACACGUGGAUAACCUACCUAUAAGACUGGGAUAACUUCGGGAAACCGGAGCUAAUACCGGAUAAUAUAUUGAACCGCAUGGUUCAAUAGUGAAAGACGGUUUUGCUGUCACUUAUAGAUGGAUCCGCGCCGCAUUAGCUAGUUGGUAAGGUAACGGCUUACCAAGGCGACGAUGCGUAGCCGACCUGAGAGGGUGAUCGGCCACACUGGAACUGAGACACGGUCCAGACUCCUACGGGAGGCAGCAGUAGGGAAUCUUCCGCAAUGGGCGAAAGCCUGACGGAGCAACGCCGCGUGAGUGAUGAAGGUCUUCGGAUCGUAAAACUCUGUUAUUAGGGAAGAACAAAUGUGUAAGUAACUAUGCACGUCUUGACGGUACCUAAUCAGAAAGCCACGGCUAACUACGUG